AAAGGGCGCGUAGGCGGACUUUUAAGUCGGAGGUGAAAGCCCAGGGCUCAACCCUGGAAUUGCCUUCGAUACUGGGAGUCUUGAGUUCGGAAGAGGUUGGUGGAACUGCGAGUGUAGAGGUGAAAUUCGUAGAUAUUCGCAAGAACACCGGUGGCGAAGGCGGCCAACUGGUCCGAAACUGACGCUGAGGCGCGAAAGCGUGGGGAGCAAACAGGAUUAGAUACCCCGGU
rnacentral:rRNA from 1 species